GACGAACGCUGGCGGCGUGCUUAACACAUGCAAGUCGAACGGAAAGGCCCUGCUUUUGUGCGGUGAUGGGGGGGCGGUCGGGGGAGUAAGAGGUGAGUAUCCUGAUCUUGUUUUUGGGAGGGCAUCAGGAAGGUGGGGCUACGAUCGUACAGCAGCUGCUGCUGCGUGGAGGGGAGUGGAAAUUUUGGGCGGGUGGGGAUGGAGGCGCGGGUGAUCAGCUUGUUGGUGGGGUGGGGGGAGGCCAAGGAUGUGGAGGGUAGGCGGCCUGUGAGGGUGACCAGCCACAUUGGGACUGAGAGACGGCCCAGUGUGCAACGGGAGGCAGCAGUGGGGAAUAUUGCACAAUGGGCGGAAGCCUGAGGAAGCAACGCCGGGGGUGGGAUGACGGUCUUCGGGUUAUAAACCGCUUUCGCCUGUGACGAAGCGGUAGUGACGGUAAUGGGUAAAGAAGCACCGGCUAACUACGUG
rnacentral:rRNA from 1 species